ACUGGCCUUAGGAGCAGGAGGCCGAGCAGCCAGGGCUGCUUUCCCAUCGCUGUCUCAGCUGCUCCCGCUGGCCUUCUGCUCAGGCUGGUGUCUCCUUGGCCGGCUCCCUGCUUCUCAGCUCAUGCCUCCAGCCUUCUGGACUCUAGGAUCACAUGUGGCUGCCCACCUCGGACAGGGUUGACUAGAGGUGAAGAGGUGCCAUGCACUCCAGGAGAAGAGCUGACUGGAUCCUAUACUCAAAGAAUGGGCCACGGAUCCCUACCUGUCCACUGUUUGUUACUGGGCUGGGAAGCUGCAAGACCCGAUGCUGGGGAGCCCACCAUGAAAUCUGUCCCAAAUCAUGGAACCCCGAGGUGAAAGGCCCCCAGGCAUGCCAACACAUGGCAGACAAAUCCAGUUGUGUCCAGGGAUGGCGUUCCCUCCAGUUUUCUGAAAGACGCUCCCAUAUUCCUUAAGCACAGGGAUCUACUAAAGGAUGUGCUCCUUAAAAAUGAGGGAGUAAGCCGAGAAAGAGGAAGAUGUGGGCUCUAGAAAAUGGAAUCCAAUGCAGCAAAAGGCAUCUGAAAAUCAGUGGAAAUCAUCGCCAACUCUCACUCCUCCCAAUUACCUCCUGGGUGGGCUGGAACCUGAGAAAUCUCAUCAGUAAAGCUCAACAGCGUUGCCGAAUGCAUUCUCCUCUUCAGGCUACAAGAGCUUUGGGGUUGCAUGCUGUCACUCAAGAUCAACCGUAAGGGGCUCACAGAGGUCCAGAGAGGCCUCAGUGCUCCCUGAUGUUGAUGCCCCCAAAACCAGUCCAAAUCUAAGCCAGGUGCUCGGACCCACAGCAGCGGUCAGGGCCCUGCAGCCGGGCAGAACGCUGCUCCUCUGCGAACCUAACAGGGACAGGCAGAAGAGUAGAUAGAUGCCCACCCUCCCCGAUCUCCAGCUGAGAUGCACAUUGGCCCAGAACAAGUGAGCUGCCUUGCAGAGCCACCACGAGAAGGAAGCCGAGGCAGGAACAGAAGUGUCUGCUGUCUAUGUGCUAACAUGCACACAGACUGUGCCCCAGUUUCUAGCCCCGAGUCACAGCGAGGCUUCUCUGAGGACACAGUCCUGCUCUUUUGCCUGCCAAGUCAUCGGCUCCCCGCACCUCUAGUGGGAAGCUGUGGGGUGGCCGAGAACUGGGUGAGCCCACCCCCCACCAGAAGGCUCUCUGUUCACCCAGUGACAUCAUCUUCUGCUCCCUGUGAUCUUGGUAAUCCUAUCCAUCCUGUGCUUUCCCCCAGAAAAAUAAAUUAAAGCAGGGCCCUCUGAGUCCCCAAUCUACUUAAUUGUACUGCCUUCACAGUCUUUGUUUGAGAAACAGUCCCCACAGCUCAAGACUCUUCAAGCAUGGAUCUGUAUUGCCAUGAUUAUUUCUGGAAUCUCUUUGAAAUUCCACUCGAUGCAGAAAACAUGUCCCACCUGUCUCAGAUCUCACUCCAUUCAGUCCAUGCAGAGUGGUCUUUCCACCCAGCCCCUCUCCUGGGGAGCCAACCUGGGAAAGUUCCCACACACCUUGUCAGAGCCCCACUACCUGGGCAGUGAUCAGGAGGUUUGCAGAAAAUGGAGAGGCCUUAAUUUACAGCCAAUGAGGUCAGGCCAUCACAGCGAUGCCCAGGGCAGAGGGCAAGAAGGAAUGAGCUCCACAGACGUCCAACUGCCCUCAGGAUUGGAGAAUCCAGACAGCCCCUGCAUGCCUCCUCUGGCUUCAUCCAAGUCAGGACAGAGUCAUCUGCAGGCACAAAUCAACUCCAGAACCUUUCCUGAAUGACACAAAGGCUCUGAAAUCGGUGUCUGCCUCUGGUCAGUUUGAGCCCCUCUCCUGCACUGUGUACAGGAAGAAUGACAGACUUUAUGCAGAAUGCUUUUAAUUUUUCUCUAUGUCAGAGCAAUGCUCAACUCACUGAGCCCUGACUUGCAGGAUGACUAGUUCCAGGGCACCCUGGGGCAAUCCUGUUCCAGGAACAACCUUUAGUGAGCCAGGGUGGUCCUUUUCCAUCCUGCUCACACGUGUGCCAACAAUCGGAUUUUAGUACUUUCUGUGCUCCCAGAGGACUGACUCCUGGGGAUGGCCGCCAUCUGCUCAGCCUCCUGUCACAAGCCUGAGUCCCACCUCGCUGCUAGUCACAGAUCCCAGCCAGCCCGUAGCUCCUGUCCAAACACAAAAGCCAGGUCUUGCAGUAGAAGACAAAUCCCAUGCACCAACUUAUUAAACUAAAGAAGAAGCCAAGUGAAAAAGGCAUCACCAGAAGUAACUUGAAGUUGUUCUGGGCUUUUGGCUUGGUGCCAGUCUAGCUGAAAAUCAGGUAGCUGAGGUGUGGUGGGAAGCUGGAGUCAGAGGGACCAAAGUGGAAAUGAAUGCCCUUGGACAGAAUGCCACAAUAGGCCAAGCACAUGGUAAGCACUUGAUCGAUGCCAGCUACCAUUUUUGCUUAUUUGCUUUUAUUAUUAAUGUUUAAAUUUAUAGACAGUGAAAUGGACUUCCAUGUAGUGUACAGUUCUAUGAGUUUUAAGACAUGUAGAUUUGUGUAACCACCUCCACAAUUAGGUUAUGGAAGACUUCCAUCCCCCAGACUCUGGCCUCAAGCUGCCUUUCAUAGCCAAACUCUUCUCCACCCCCAACCCCUGACAACUGCUGGUCUGUUUUCCAUCCCUAUGGUUUUGCUUUAUAAACUCACGCAGUAGGUAACCUUUUGCAAUUAGUUUUCUUUCACUCAGUGUAAUGCCUUUGAAGUUUCUCCAUGUUGUCAUCUGUCUCAAUAGUUUAUUCCUUUUUAUUGUGAGGUAGUAUUUCAUAUACCACAGUGUGUUUCUCAAUUCACCCAUCAAUAAGAGUGUUUCAGUUUUAGUGAUGAUAAAUACUCUUUCUAUAAACAGUCAUGCACAGGUUCUGUGUAAACAUGCUUUCAUUUCUGUAGAGCAAGUAUCUAGGCGUGGGAUUCUUGAGUCGUAUGGUAAGCGUGUCAUUAAACUUAAACUGACAAACUGUUUUUCAGAGUGGCCACGUCACUUUGCAUUCCCACCAGCAUGUGUGAAAGUGCCAGUUGUCUCAUUCUUGCCGCCACUUGGUAUUGUCAGUGUUUUCAUUUUAGCCAUUCUACUAGGUGGGAAACGGACUCUCAUGGCUGUUCUAAUUUGCAUUUUCCUAGAGGCUAAUGGUGUUGAAGACUUCUCGUUGUGCCCAUUUGCUUAUAUCUUCUUUGGUGAAGUGUCUCUUCGAAUAUUUUGCCCAUUGAAAAAAUUCAGUUGUUUGUUUUCUUACUGUUGAGUUUUGAGGGUUCUUUAUAUACUCUGGAUAUAAGUCCUUAAUCUCAUACGUGAUUUGCAAGUGUUUCCUCCCCAUUUACGACUUGUGUUUUCACCCACUUAAUGGUGCCUUUUGUGGAGCAAAAUAUUUUAAUUUGCUGAAAUCCAAUUCACGAAGUUUUUCUUUUCUCAGUCAUGUACUAGAUGUUAAGUGUAAGAACUUCUCAUGCAACCCAAGGUCAUGAAGCUGUUCUCCUGUUUUCUUCUAAGAGCUUUAUAGUUUUACAUGGUACAUUUUGACUUAAUUCUUUUAUAAGGUAAGAGACUUAGAUCAGAGACUUAAAAAAUUUUUUUGCUUAUGGAUGUCCAGUUGUUCUGUUGGCAAAUUUUAACAUGAAUCUUUUUCACCCUCCUCUUUAUAUUAACUUUUGUCUCUGUAAAUUGAGGAUCUUUUUAAAAAAACUUGCAAUGAGAAGACAUAUGUGAAAAGUGCUUUGCAAGUGAUUUGUAGAAAAGUAGAUAAAUAAAUAUUAGUUUAAAACACAUACACACACUCGUAGUAAGACAUUGCAAAAUGAAGAUUCAAAGAUGAAGAUUCGUCACCCAGAAAUAAAUUCUGGAAUCACAAGGUAAAGUUUGCAAUGCUGACUUAAAACCACUUAAGGUCUCUGGCUCACAGGCAGCCUG
rnacentral:lncRNA from 1 species